rnacentral:rRNA from 1 species
CAUGAAGUUGGAUUCGCUAGUAAUCGCGUAUCAGCAAUGACGCGGUGAAUACGUUCCCGGGCCUUGUACACACCGCCCGUCAAGCCAUGGAAGUUGGGGGUACCUAAAGUAUGUAACCGCAAGGAGCGUCCUAGGGUAAAACCGAUAACUGGGGCUAAGUCGUAACAAGGUAGCCGUACCGGAAGGUGCGGCUGGAAUACCUCCUUUCUGGAG